rnacentral:tRNA from 1 species
AGCCCGGCUGGCGCAAUGGUAGCGCGCAAGACUUCUAAUCUUGAGGCUGCGGGUUCGACCCCCGCGUUGGGCUU